AACCUUUAGUCAGGUCUGGGAUAAAACAGCGUAAACAAACAGCAGCCUAAAGCAAACAGCCUGAGCAAAUACACUGUUGGACAAACAUUUUUUGAUUGCAAAGUAAAAAAGGGAAAGUACAAAAAAAGUGCAUAGAUAUCUUAAGAAAGUGUCAAGUCUCAAUGCGGAUAGUUUUUUCUUAUAUAUCGGAGAUCUGAGUAUUCUACCUUUCUUGUAGAGCCAUAAAAAAAAGAAAAUGUACAAUGUCACAAAAAGACAGACAGACAAAGAAAGGAGCAAAUGAUUCCAAUAAAAAUUACUGACUUCGACAUUUGGGGAUUAUCCAGAUCAAUAUCAUAUAUUGGUUUUAUUGCUUUGUGACCCUUUAAAGUACAAAAAUCUCUACAGGCAUCAAGCAGACCAACAGAGAAGCUGUGAUAAUCAAACACAAACUGGCUAAAUCCACAAUAUUGCGACAGAUGUUUCACUGCUGUCUUUAAAUCAAAUUAGAUUCAUACCUGAACAUAACAGUGAGCAGAGGAUCAGAGCCCCAGGUGAUAAAUCCAUGAUGAACAGAGAACAACCUCACUUUCUCCCCACAGUUAAACCUCUUUCUCUCUCUCCCUCUCCCUCUCUCUCUCUCUCUCUCUCUCUGUCUCUUUUUCAUACAAUCGCUUUCGACCUUUAACCCCUGGCUUACCAUUUACCCCUUCUCCUAUUCAAUCACUGUCUGUAAGUUUCUGUCACUUAUGAACCAUUUCAUUCAAAGGUUGUUGUUUUUGUUACUUUCUUAAUAAGGUAAUAUUUGUUGAUCAUAAAAAUGAUCUUGUUUUCCUGAAUGAUAUCAUGUGAGUAAAUUCUUAAAAAUAGUUCACUUCACUUACAUUACAUGUGCAUACUUUGUAGGAUAUGUUCUGUUGAAAAGUACCCAAGUUGGACUUAAUGACUUCAAUUAUUUGACAUGUGAUUGCGGCACACAUGGAUUUAAUUUAGUGAUUCUGCUUUCCAUGAAAAUGAUUUAACUCCAUGUGUGUGUGUGUGUGUUGACCUAUGAGCGAGGUCCUACAGCGGCUGAUCAAUCAGACUCUCAAAGCUUCCGCCGGAUCGGAGGCAUAAAAAUAAAGAGAAAUAAAUCGGCAAUAUCAAAAGGUGGAACAUGAGGAAGACCCCAGCUGCCCUUCAGGACAAAGACCACAGUGGCGUCUUGUGCACCUUUCCACUUCCUUACCUCAUCACACCCAAGUUGAGGGGAAAGCCUGCUAUGUGGUGACAUGUUUAUUUCAAUCUAAAAACAUAGAUACUGAGGCCAACACUUCCAUGGGGCAAACUGUGAUGGGAGUGUAUGCCAUACAGAAGGUGGGUGCGGACACUGAAGAUGAGCCAGAGGACAUUGGUGUCCUGAUUGAGGGUGUGGAGGUCCUCAGUGGUUUGGGUAACAUUGUGAUUGCCUGUGCUCUGCUCUUUGGACUGAUAUACUGUCUGAACCUGAGCUACCCACCAGAGCUAAAAUGCACUUUUGAAGUCCUGCAGAAGAUUCUGCUGAACCUGGAUGGGCAGAGUUUGACGUCCAAGGCACAG